UUAUUGACUUGUUUUACCAAACAGGAAUAUUAUAUUUUCUGUGAGAGCAAAUUUAGCAAUUUAAAUUUUGUAAUGCAUGAUUUUUAGAACAAACCUAAUCUCUUUUGAGACAUUUACUGAAUAAUGUUUAAUUAUGUUUUCUUAGGACAUAUAAUUUGACAUCCAAAACUUUUAAAGGAGAUAUCAGACAUCCUCUGCUCCUGUUGGGGAUCCCACUCCCGACAUGCAAGCUUGUUACGAAGAGGAAGAUGUUCGUCUGUUCAUUUAAUUACAAUAUGUCUCCACACAGAGUUCAUUUUACUUUUGAAAGACUUUUGUUUGAUAUGUUUGUUUAAAUAAAGUUCCUGUCUCUACAA